UACGUAGGGACCAAGCGUUGUUCGGAUUUACUGGGCGUAAAGGGCGCGUAGGCGGCAAUUCAAGUCAGCUGUGAAAUCUCCGGGCUUAACUCGGAACGGUCAGCUGAUACUGCUUUGCUAGAGUGCAGAAGGGGCAAUCGGAAUUCUUGGUGUAGCGGUGAAAUGACGUAGAUAUCAAGAGGAACACCUGAGGUGAAGACGGGUUGCUGGGCUGACACUGACGCUGAGUGCGCGAAAGCUAGGGUAGCAAACGGG
rnacentral:rRNA from 1 species